rnacentral:rRNA from 1 species
GACGAACGCUGGCGGCGUGCUUAACACAUGCAAGUCGAACGGAAAGGCCCUGCUUUUGUGGGGUGCUCGAGUGGCGAACGGGUGAGUAACACGUGAGUAACCUGCCCUUGACUUUGGGAUAACUUCAGGAAACUGGGGCUAAUAUCGGAUAGGAGCUCCUGCUGCAUGGUGGGGGUUGGAAAGUUUCGGCGGUUGGGGAUGGACUCGCGGCUUAUCAGCUUGUUGGUGGGGUAGUGGCUUACCAAGGCUUUGACGGGUAGCCGGCCUGAGAGGGUGACCGGCCACAUUGGGACUGAGAUACGGCGCAGACUGCUACGGGAGGCAGCAGUGGGGAAUAUUGCACAAUGGGCGGAAGCCUGAUGCAGCAACGCCGCGUGCGGGAUGACGGCCUUCGGGUUGUAAACCGCUUUCGCCUGUGACGAAGCGUGAGUGACGGUAAUGAGUAAAGAAGCACCGGCUAACUACGUG